rnacentral:lncRNA from 1 species
AAAUGGAUCUCGGAGUGUGUGCGCUUCCUAUCUUCAAAGGGAAGAGGAGAGAGAGAGAAGACGGUCUAAGUGUCAGGAAGAGGAAUGAUGCUCCAGAUGCGCCCUUUGACUCCAUUUCCUGCUCCCCACCAAGCCUCUGGAGAGUAUGCUCAGGGAGCUCUCCCUCUUCCUGUGAGGCCAGAGAUGUUUCCAGUUUUGAGGCUGUUGUGGAUGACAUGUCUGGGCAAGCAUGCGGCAAAACCACAGAGAGACAGGAGAGGAAAGAAACAAAGCUGGGCAAACUCCAGAGCACCUUCUGCAGGACUUCUGUCAAGCCUGAGGCCAACUUGAACCGCAACAGCAAGACACACAGGUUCCAUUUCAACAAUGUAAAUGGUGUCCAUGAGGACCUGGAGGUAAGGCCUCAUUUAUCCGUGGCUUCCCUCACUCCCUCCACAAAUACAAAGCUAGAGUGAUGCAGUCAGUGAAUCCGCUGGACUCUGCCCUUAAAGUGCAUCCAGAAUCCGAUCACUUCUCUCC